rnacentral:rRNA from 1 species
AUUGAACGCUGGCGGCAUGCCUUACACAUGCAAGUCGAACGGUAACAGGUCUUCGGAUGCUGACGAGUGGCGAACGGGUGAGUAAUACAUCGGAACGUGCCUAGUAGUGGGGGACAACUACUCGAAAGAGUGGCUAAUACCGCAUGAGAUCUACGGAUGAAAGCAGGGGAUCGCAAGACCUUGUGCUACUAGAGCGGCCGAUGGCAGAUUAGGUAGUUGGUGGGAUAAAAGCUUACCAAGCCGACGAUCUGAAGCCGGUCUGAGAGGACGAUCAGCCACACUGGGACUGAGACACGGCCCAGACUCCUACGGGAGGCAGCAGUGGGGAAUUUUGGACAAUGGGCGAAAGCCUGAUCCAGCAAUGCCGCGUGCAGGAUGAAGGCCUUCGGGUUGUAAACUGCUUUUGUACGGAACGAAAAGCCCCGGGUUAAUACCCUGGGGUCAUGACGGUACCGUAAGAAUAAGCACCGGCUAACUACGUGCCAGCCGCCGCCGUAA